UACGAAGGGGGCUAGCGUUGCUCGGAAUCACUGGGCGUAAAGCGCACGUAGGCGGAUUGCUAAGUCAGGUGUGAAAUCCUGGAGCUCAACUCCAGAACUGCCUUUGAUACUGGCGAUCUUGAGUCCGGGAGAGGUGAGUGGAACUGCGAGUGUAGAGGUGAAAUUCGUAGAUAUUCGCAAGAACACCAGUGGCGAAGGCGGCUCACUGGUCCGGUACUGACGAUGAGGUGCGAAAGCGUGGGGAGCAAACAGG
rnacentral:rRNA from 1 species